rnacentral:misc_RNA from 1 species
GUUUGUUGACACAUUAUUCUACAUAAAUGUCACCUUUUAGAAUUGAUCUUUAUUUAUUUUUUCUUUUCAAAUUACCGACGACUGUUGUAAUUAUGCAUGUUUUUUUCAUACCUAAAGGUAAGAAUUGCAUGGUUUCCAGGAGAUAAAAGAAAGUUACCCAAGCAUUCAGUAAAGUUUGAGAGGAGUUGUCAGCAGGGUUUCCAAAUAUAUGCAUAGGAGCUCUUUUGGCUAAAGUAACUCUUUUUAGUUCUUUUUAUAUUCAGACUGUGCACUUUGAUGCAGUUAACUACACAAAUAUCUAAAAUAUGUAGUGACUAUUUGAAGUUUUGUUUUAGUUCCACUGCCUACGUUUUGUCUUACUUUUGACGCAUCAGGGGUUAGACUUGACCGCCUGCACAUAACAAUUACUCAUUGGUGGGAAUCCUAAAUUCUAUAAUCAUUAAAUAUAAAAUGUAAUACGAACCCAAGCAUUACAUUUGUAGAAUACCUCUAACAUUUUCUUGGAUAAAAGUUGAGACAAGACACAAACCGGAUCGUGCCUGGCAAUAUUCACCACAAGCACCCAGACUACGAAAACUAUGAACACAGACUGGGUUCAUUCAACGGAUGGGCACAUGCAGAUAUAGUUCAACCUGAAGAACUUGCGUCAGCAGGACUGUUUUAUACAGGAACAUACGAUUUUGUAAAGUGUUUUUCAUGCGGUACUGGAAUGCUUAACUGGGAACACGGUGAUGACCCCUGGAUAGUGCAUGCGCAGUCGGUUCCAAAGUGUCAAUAUGUUGCAGAAAUUAAAGGACCCGAGUU